UAAACACGGACCAAGGAGUCUAACGUGCGCGCGAGUCGCGGGGUGUCGAGCGGCGGUCGUGUUUCGGCACGACCGUCGUUCGUUACGACGCGAAACCCGUACCGUUCAUUCGGAAGGCGCAAUGAAAGUGAAAUGGGGAAGAUGGCGUUACCGAGUUCACGUUUCGCGACUCGAUCGCGACCGGUCGCCCGCAUUCCCAGGGCGUCCCAACGGCUCGGCGGCGUUGCGGAUCGUCGUUCCUUCGGGAACGGCGGUCGGGCGUCGUCGGUCCGGGGCGCACCUACAGCGUGCACGUUGGUACCCGAAAGAUGGUGAACUAUGCCCGGCCAGGAUGAAGUCAGGGGAAACCCUGAUGGAGGUCCGCAGCGAUUCUGACGUGCAAAUCGAUCGUCUGAGCUGGGUAUAGGGGCGAAAGACUAAUCGAACCAUCUAGUAGCU
rnacentral:rRNA from 1 species